CAAAGCUGCUCCCAUGGCUCUUCGGUACAGGAGACCCAGCCCCAUGAGAGGCCUGACAAACACUGCUCAGCUUGCUGGUGGGGCUUCCUUUGGACCCCAAACCCCACGUGGUUCUGCAGCUCCAGGGAGCCAGCCACUGCACAGCUCCCAUGCAAAGAGUCCAUAGCCCAGACAGCCUUAUCUCCACUCAGAGCUGCCUCUUGCUAAUUGGAAGAUAGCUCCUGGAUGACUGGAUGUAUUGGCUACAGAUCCGAUCCUCUGUGUAAAAUUCCCUACUAGGAGCCACGACAAACCAUGUGUGCAGAACAGAGACAGGCUGGAAGUAAGGAAGAAACAGGAAAAAACAGCAAAAGAAAAAUAAAAACCCUGCUGGUGAAAGCAACAUUGCCAAGAAAGGCCACGAAUACACUACAAACAUUCAGCUACUA